rnacentral:rRNA from 1 species
GACGAACGCUGGCGGCGUGCCUAACACAUGCAAGUCGAGCGGGGUUUUCGGACCUAGCGGCGGACGGGUGAGUAAUGCGUAGGAAGCUACCCGAUAGAGGGGGAUACCAGUUGGAAACGACUGUUAAUACCGCAUAAUGUCUACGGACCAAAGUGUGGGACCUUCGGGCCACAUGCUAUCGGAUGCGCCUACGUGGGAUUAGCUAGUUGGUGAGGUAAUGGCUCACCAAGGCGACGAUCCCUAGCUGGUUUGAGAGGAUGAUCAGCCACACUGGAACUGAGACACGGUCCAGACUCCUACGGGAGGCAGCAGUGGGGAAUAUUGGACAAUGGGCGCAAGCCUGAUCCAGCCAUGCCGCGUGUGUGAAGAAGGCCUUCGGGUUGUAAAGCACUUUCAGUAGGGAGGAAGCGUUGUGUGUUAAUAGUACACAGCGUUGACGUUACCUACAGAAGAAGCACCGGCUAACUCUGUGCCAGCAGCCGCCGUAACAC